AAAACUACAACGGAAGUGACGCAACAGUUGGUCGUUCUACAUGACGGUAGAAGAAGAAGAGACUGACCCGGCAAAAAAACAAAGAAGAAGGAGCUUUGCUUGUGGACUCACAAGCAAAUAUUGCCCGUUUGAUAAAUUCAAGAAUGGACUUGCUACUUCGCACUUUUUAACAGCCCUGCAGCAAUUUCCUAUGACGCUGACUCCUGUCUUGUGCCAUUUUGAGAAAAAGUUAUCUGCUGUGGACAUCGAAAAUCUCUUCCGACCAGAGCUUAGUCCAUAUGGCAGCAACCAGAGAGCCCAGGAGAACAAGACAACAAGUUUCUGGGCCGACUACCUUCUUGACUGUGAAGAACAUAACAGUGAGGUGACCCUGGAGGAUGUCCUUAUGUUUGCCACAGGUGUGCCAUCUAUUCCUCCUGCUGGCAUGGACCCUCAGCCAUGUCUUGAAUAUAUUUAC